rnacentral:lncRNA from 1 species
AAAAAGAACAUUUUUAAGCCCCUGUUUGAUUAACAUUAAAUUACAUUACAUUACAUUCCAUUUUUCUCUCUCCUAUUUUCAACCAUACAAUCUUCUAUAAAAUAAUAUUACACGUAAAUCGAAAACUUUACUUUCUUUUUCAACCACUCAUUUUCCUAAAAAAUACUAUUCCCCCCAUUACCAUUUUCAGGUAAUGGGGGCCAAACAGGGGCUAAGUUGGCCCAGGGCAGAGAAAAUUGAGAACGUCUAUGCCAAGUGCAAAUUUGUUGUGCAUGUUAGGUAAGAAUAGCCCAGGAUAAUGGAAAUAGCAAAACUUGGAUAUAGAUUUCACUAAGUAAUAAUCCGGCUCUACUAUGAAAUAAAAAACAGAGAAUUACAAGAUGAGUUUCAAAUAGGAGUUACAAAUGAAAUAUCAAACUCUCUACCUCUCUCAAAAAAAAGGAGCAAACUCUAUCUAUCCCAAAUCCUCACUUGGUGCUCAAUUGCUUUUGGCACACACCCAUUUAAC